rnacentral:rRNA from 1 species
CCUACGGGAGGCAGCAGUGGGGAAUCUUCCGCAAUGGGCGAAAGCCUGACGGAGCAACGCCGCGUGAGUGACGAAGGCCUUUGGGUUGUAAAACUCUGUCUUUGGGGAAGAAACAAAUGACGGUACCCAAGGAGGAAGCCCCGGCUAACUACGUGCCAGCAGCCGCGGUAAAACGUAGGGGGCGAGCGUUGUCCGGAAUUACUGGGCGUAAAGGGCGCGUAGGCGGUUUACCAAGUCAGAGGUGAAAACUGUGGGCUCAACCCACAGCCUGCCUAUGAAACUGGUAGACUUGAGGGCAGGAGAGGGGAGUGGAAUUCCCAGUGUAGCGGUGAAAUGCGUAGAUAUUGGGAGGAACACCAGUGGCGAAGGCGACUCUCUGGCCUGUUACUGACGCUGAGGCGCGAAAGCGUGGGGAGCAAACGGGAUUAGAUACCCCGGUAGUCCACGCUGUAAACGAUGGGUGCUAGGUGUAGGAGGUAUCGACCCCUUCUGUGCCGUAGUUAGCACAAUAAGCACCCCGCCUGGGGAGUACGGCCGCAAGGUUGAAACUCAAAGGAAUUGACGG